rnacentral:rRNA from 1 species
AAGAAUUUAUUUAUUUAUUUUAUUAAUUUUUAUUUUGAUAGAAAUAACUUUUUUUUUAGUAGGUUUUACUGAAAUAAUUAAUUUAAUUAUAGUUUAUUGUACUGUGCAGGAAUAUUUUUAUUUUAUUAUAAGGAGAUUUAAUUUAUUGUACCUUUUGUAUCAGGGUUAAUUAAUUAUUUUUAUUUAUUUAAUUUUCCCGAAAAUGAAAGAGAUAUAAUUAUAUGUUAGUUAAUGUUUCAUAAUUAUUAAUAAUAUAAUUAUAGCAAUGAUAAGUUAUUCGUUUUCAUUAUAUCUGGUUUUCUAAGAAUUGAAUUUAAUUCAGGAUUGUUGAUUUUAUUUUUUUAUUUUAAUUAGGAGUUGUUUUACAAUCUAGGAUUUUCGGGGAUAAGCUCGGGAAUUGAUAUUAUAAUUUUAAAUUAUUUGUUGGUUUUAGUAGGCUUGGAAUCAGCCAUCAUUAAUUUCGUUAUAGAUUAUUCUUGACUGGUAUUAUUUUGUUUAAUUUAAUUUUAUAUUAGGAUUUUUCAUUUAAUUUUUUAUUGUUUGUAAUAAUGAUUAAAUUAGUAUAUUUGUAUUUAAAAUAUAGGAAUUCGGCAAAUAUCAUGCUCGCCUGUUUAACAAAAACAUGUCCUUUUGUUUAUUUAUUUCAGGUUUGGCCUGCCCAAUGAAUUUUUAAUGGCCGCGGUAUAUUAACCGUGCUAAGGUAGCAUAAUCAUUUGUCUUUUAAUUAAGGGCUUGUAUGAAGGGUCGGACGAGGCAUGUUCUUUCUUUAUUUUAUUUUUAGAAUUUAUCUUUUUAGUUAAAAGACUAAAAUUUUUCUGUGGGACGAGAAGACCCUAUAGAUCUUUAUAAUGAAUUAUUUUUAGUUUAUUUAGUUAUUAUUUAAUUUAAUUUAAUUUAUUAUUUGAUUGGGGUGAUUUCAGAAAUUCUAUAACUUCUGUUUUUAUAUUUCGUUUAUGAGCGUUUAAAUGAUCCAUUAUUAGUGAUUUUAAGAUUAAGUUACCUUAGGGAUAACAGCGUAAUCUUUUCGGAGAGUUCAUAUCGAUGAAGGGGUUUGCGACCUCGAUGUUGGAUUAAAAUAAGUAUUAGGUGUAGCAAUUUAAUUACUAGGUCUGUUCGACCUUUAAUUUUUUACAUGAUCUGAGUUCAGACCGGCGUAAGCCAGGUCAGUUUCUAUCUUCAGUUAAUUUUUAUAUUUUAGUACGAAAGGACCAAAUAUAAGGAAUAUUUUUUUUUGUUUUUGAUUUAUAUU